UAUCCUUCUUCCAUUUCCUUUCCGCCUGUCUCCAUUUUUGUCUAAUAGAUCGACUGUCAGCAUUAAUCCAGGGCUGGGGAGUGGCUAUAGAUUUUACCUUUUUAACAGGAGCAACAUGGUCCAAAAUGACCUUACACUUUGUGUUAAAAACAGCAAGCAGCUCCUCUGAACCCAUAUUAACUAUCUUCGGAUCUUUAACUAAAAACUGUGCAUGAGCGUUAAAAGACACCGAAAACUUUGAAACUACUUGUGCAUUUAAAUGCCUAGUGUAGCGAACCACAGUCUCAUGGCCUGUAGAAGGCGCAGCAAUCAACAAUUUAAACAAGAUUAAAAAAUGAUCUGACAGACCAAUAUUGUCUAUUGUGAGGUCACAUACAGGAGCCCCCCCGUGUCAAAACCAGGUCCAACGUGUGACCCUGAGCAUGUGUGGAGCCCAGUACACAUUGAUUAAGAUUAAAUGAAUCAAGCAAAGAUAAAAAAUCUUGUACUAGGGGCUUGUCAGGACAACAGAUGUGAAUAUUAAAAUCACCUAAAAUAACCAGAUUAUCACAUCCAGGAAUCAGAAAAGAAAGCAGUUCAGAAAAUUCAAAAAUAAAAUUUCUGUUGUAGCUAGGAGGUCUGUAUAUAAGUGCACAAAUAACAGGCACAAUUAAGUCCAUCUUAAAUACUUGUACCUCGAAGCUCACAAAAUCAUCCACCACAAUUUGUUUGCAUUUAAAACAAUUCUUAAAAAUAGUAGCAAUCCCACCACCACGUCCCUGAGGUCGCGGUGAGUUCAAAAAGUUGUAAUUACACGGGGAUGCUUCAGACAGUGGGACCUGAUCCUGCCCAUUAAGCCAGGUCUCAGUCAAGAAAAAGAGAUUAACGUCUCUCGAUAGAAUAAUGUCAUUAAUUGCAAAUGACUUAUUGACAAUAGACCUCGAAUUUACUAGUGCCAUCUUCACGUAUAUAGCAGGAGACACAUCACUAUGAGUAGAUACAGACAAGGCAUACUCCAGACAACGAAGGUUGUUAUGGUUAACCCCCCUCUUCCUCUUAAAACUCUGGCGUAUUUGAUUAAAACCAAAAUACGCAUCCCGGUGCGGUGGCAUAACUGCAACUAGAUGCGAGUACCUCACAUGUCGUCUCCAACGAGCCGACCCCGGGACCUUCGCUGCUGAACCUGCAUAUCCAAGGCAUCCUGCUACGAAAGCACGCUCUCUUCUCUGUUUCACUCGCGCGCCUCCUCGCUUGCCUCGUCUUUUACUGCGCUUUCUGCGGAGUCGAAAACAGUCCGGCCAGCCACUUAAAUCCACAGGUAGAUGGGGAAAACAUGGGGGAUCGCAGGGCUUUCGGCCACCUGAGCAGCUCGAUGCCAGCGCCACCGAUCUCCGAAGACUGAGUAAAAAUUCCCGAUCAUAAACUUGCAGAGAGUUCACUUGCU